rnacentral:lncRNA from 1 species
GUGGCGGAGGGUGGGGCGGAAGAGCAGAAGGAGACUGGGAAAGGCACUGUCGGUGACAUCACCGAUAGGGCGUUUCUAUGUAGAUGAGGCAGCGCAGGGGCUGCUGCUUCGCCACGAAGGAUUUCCCGUGCCGUGGGAGCGGGUUCAGGACCGCUGGUGGGAAGCUCAGCUGUGUAAUUUGUAGUAACGAAGCAGAAGUUACAACGAAAAGACAAGUUUUCCUGUGCUUGGCAGGGCCCCCCUCCCCCCCACCAAGGCCUGCAGUGGAUAGAGCCUAGCAGAUCCUGGACAAUACUAUCCUAAAAGCUACAUCUCUGACAGUGAUUUCCAGCGACUUUGUCAACACGGUCCGCCCCCAGCAAGUAUAAGAGGAAAAACAACAAAUGUCUUUACUGCCUUGUCUUUCCCCCUUGCCACUUGUCAUUAUUCAAGUUUUGUAAGUUCCUGAUUUCCAUUCAGUGCAGCUGCAAGGUUACCAGCUGUGCUUGCGUUGCAAGACCUGUCACAGUUUGAUUAACUGCCUUCUUUCUGCUUCUGUAAGCCCUCUUGCCUGCCCCGCGAGUUUCACACCAUCAAAUUCCUGCUGCACCAUUCAAACUAGCCAACCCCCUUUCAGAAGUGUGUAUAAAAGUCAAGCCCCCUGUCUUUCUUCGGGGCUCAUGCUAGGCCCGAGUGCAUUCAAUAAAAUCCUUCUGUUCCAC